UACGUAGGGUGCGAGCGUUGUCCGGAAUUACUGGGCGUAAAGAGCUCGUAGGUGGUUUGUCGCGUUGUCCGUGAAAACUCACAACUCAAUUGUGGGCGUGCGGGCGAUACGGGCAGACUGGAGUACUGCAGGGGAGACUGGAAUUCCUGGUGUAGCGGUGGAAUGCGCAGAUAUCAGGAGGAACACCGGUGGCGAAGGCGGGUCUCUGGGCAGUAACUGACGCUGAGGAGCGAAAGUGUGGGGAGCGAACAGG
rnacentral:rRNA from 1 species